GAUCUCGCCCCGCGGAUCUCGCCCCGCGGAUCUCGCCCCGCGGAUCUCGCCCCGCGGAUCUCGCUGAGAAAUUUUACCACUGGCAGUUGUGUACACAAAUAACGUACCGACCUCAAAGAGUAUAAGUAUUAGUGUAACUUAAUUCGUGUUCUCAUUUAUUGUAACACUGGCGGCCUACGCACAGUUGAUAAGGCUUCGUCGUUUGCAAAAGAGGAGUCUAAGUUGCAUAUGCGACCAGCAGGGGUCAUCGGAAGUAACAUGGAAGACCUUUUGCAGGAACUUGGAUUGGAGGAAGUUGUUGAUGCAAUGUGGCAAACAUUGAACACUGGUACUAUUGUUAUCGUCUGGCCUUUCCUUGCUACAUGAAACGUAAAAUACAAGGUGGCAAUGACUUUCCAAGGAAACGAUAAUGCGUGUCAAGGACUUUCCUGAAUGACCUUACACGUGAGAGUUUGACGGUACAGAGUGGAUGAA